rnacentral:rRNA from 1 species
GCUUACCAUGCAGUCGAGCGAUGAAACUCCUUCGGGAGUGGAUUAGCGGCGGACGGGUGAGUAACACGUGGGUAACCUACCUCAAAGAGGGGGAUAGCCUCCCGAAAGGGAGAUUAAUACCGCAUAAUAAUCAAUUUUCACAUGGGAAUUGAUUUAAAGGAGUGAUCCGCUUUGAGAUGGACCCGCGGCGCAUUAGCUAGUUGGUAGGGUAACGGCCUACCAAGGCGACGAUGCGUAGCCGACCUGAGAGGGUGAUCGGCCACAUUGGAACUGAGAGACGGUCCAGACUCCUACGGGAGGCAGCAGUGGGGAAUAUUGCACAAUGGGCGAAAGCCUGAUGCAGCAACGCCGCGUGAGUGAAGAAGGUUUUCGGAUUGUAAAGCUCUGUCUUUGGGGACGAUAAUGACGGUACCCAAGGAGGAAGCCACGGCUAACUACGUGCCAGCAGCCGCGGUAAUACGUAGGUGGCAAGCGUUGUCCGGAAUUACUGGGCGUAAAGAGUGCGUAGGCGGAUAUUUAAGUGAGAUGUGAAAUACCCGGGCUUAACCCGGGCACUGCAUUUCAAACUGGAUAUCUAGAGUGCGGGAGAGGAGAAUGGAAUUCCUAGUGUAGCGGUGAAAUGCGUAGAGAUUAGGAAGAACACCAGUGGCGAAGGCGAUUCUCUGGACCGUAACUGACGCUGAGGCACGAAAGCGUGGGUAGCAAACAGGAUUAGAUACCCUGGUAGUCCACGCCGUAAA